rnacentral:rRNA from 1 species
UACGGAGGGUGCGAGCGUUGUCCGGAAUCAUUGGGCGUAAAGGGCGCGUAGGUGGCCCGGUCAGUUCGUGGUGAAAGCGCGGGGCUCAACCCUGCGUCGGCCAUGAAUACUGCCGCGGCUGGAGCACUGUAGAGGCAGGCGGAAUUCCGGGUGUAGCGGUGGAAUGCGUAGAGAUCCGGAAGAACACCGGUGGCGAAGGCGGAUCUCUGGGCCUUACCUGACGCUGAGGCGGCGAAAGCUAGGGGAGCAACAGG